rnacentral:tRNA from 1 species
GAUGGGCUCAGUGGAAGAGUACCUGCCUAGCAUGCAUGAAGCCCUGGGUUCAAUCCCCAGAAACAACA